rnacentral:rRNA from 1 species
UCGGAAUCUCUGUUUGAACCCGACGAUACAUCUGAGUGUUCUAAGCGAACUGUUAAAACUUUCAACAACGGAUCUCUUGGCUCCAGCAUCGAUGAAGAACGCAGCGAAACGCGAUAAGUAAUGUGAAUUGCAGAAUUCAGUGAAUCAUCGAAUCUUUGAACGCACAUGGCGCCUUCCAGUAUCCUGGAAGGCAUGCCUGUCCGAGCGUCGUUUCAACCCUCGAGCCCCCGUGGCCCGGCGUUGGGGAUCUGCCCAGGCAGGCCCCGAAAACCAGUGGCGGACCCGUUACAGGCCCUUCCUUUGCGUAGUAAUACUGCCUCGCAUCGGGAGCCGGCGGGCUUCCAGCCUCUAAACCCCCAGCAAGUCCGCCUCGGCGGCACCAAGGUUGACCUCGGAUCAGGUAGGAAUACCCGCUGAACUUAAGCAUAUCAAUAAGCGGAGGA